UGUUGAGUAUUGGCAAUAGUUCCUUAUGUUAUCCUCUGCUUGGCAGGAUACCAGAAGAGAGCUUGGAAUGGAAAUAAUUGAGGAACAUACGGUGAUGGAAUAUUCUAAGGUUAGCAAGAAAUGUGAAAAAUGUGGCCAUGGGGAAGCUACAUAUUAUACUAGAUAGAUGAGAUCAUCAGACAAAGGGCAAACUACUUUCUACACAUGUACCGGUUGCGGUCAUCAGUCUCAGGAGAAUUAGUGGUUUACUUUAAGGUUAUGCUUAGCUUGGGAGAGAAAAGUGGAAGGAAAAAGAAAGAUAAAGAGUGAAAACUGAGAUGAUUUUUUGGUAGGAGAGAAAAUGAAAAGAAAGUUAAUUUUUUUUCUUCUUAUUUGAUUGUGUAUAAUGGAAAAAAAAAUAUGUACGUGAAAUGUAAUAAAUACUUAAAACUUGGAAUCAAAUGUAGCAAUUAAUCUUUUCAUAAAAAAAAUAUAUU